ensembl:lncRNA
AAAAAACUAAUAAUCAGGCCAGCUGAAAAAUUAAAUGUAAUCAGAUAUGAAUCUAGACUUGUGGUAAAAGUCAAUUUAAACGAUUGUUUAUGAACGAUCGUUCAUGAAAAAAAAAAUGGGUUAUGAUGAAAAAAUGAUUAUUUAUCCCAAUAUGUGCUAAAUGUGAACGAAUUUUAUACAGGCGUAUCUAAAGUCAACUCUCAGAUAACGCGUCAUCAAGUAGCCUACCGAAGUUACCGACGCCAUUUUGGCUCAAACAAACUCCAUUUCACUUACUAGUAAAACAUAUUCGUCUUUUAAAAAAUCGCAUUUUAUACACAAUGCAUUAAAGAGACCGCCGUAAAGUCACUGCGUGCGUCUGCUAAAAUAACUGCUGUAUCUUUUUCUGAAUUGUAAAGUAUUUUUAAUAAUACUGCUUCUAAGUCCUGUGCUAGCAGUCCGCUACGUGUCACCGUUGUUGUGCCCAGAUGAUAAGUUAAACAUCUGGCGAAUGUAAAUAAAAAUGGGUGGAUGCUCCGCUCCAAACUGCUCGAACUCUACAACCAUUGGAAAGCAGCUCUUUCGCUUUCCGAAAGACCCCGUGCGCAUGAGAAAGUGGCUGGUAAACUGUCGGCGUGAUUUUGUACCCACUCCCUGCUCCAGACUGUGCCAGGACCACUUUGAAGAAAGCCAGUUUGAGGAGAUCGCCAGAUCACCAGCAGGGGGAAGGAAACUCAAACCCAACGCUAUCCCCACACUCUUCAAUGUACCCGACCCUCCCUCUCCUGUCACCCCCCAAGCAGUGUUACCUGUUAAAAAUGAGCCAGUAGAAAAGGACUUGAACAUGGGGGAUCAUGGAUAUGCCCGCCGACAGCCACCUGUGGAUUCAGAGGAGGAUGGGGUUCAGCGGACAGAUGAGGAGCGACCCUGUUCUCUCUGCCAGCAUUAUAAAACCAAACUGGAGCAGCAACAGCAACACACAGUCAGACUACAGAGAGAGGCAGAGGAGAUGAAGAAACGUCUUUACAAACUGAGUAAAAUAGAGAAGGGGCUACAGGUGUUCCUGUUUGAGGAUCAGAUACGCGCCCUAACAUUGGCCAAGCGUUCUCGGAGGGCAGUGUGGUCCCAUGAUACUUUACUGACAGCCCGUAAAAUCCGCUGCGCAGUGGGGGUUAAAGGAUACGAGUACCUAAGGGAACUGGGCUACCCUUUGCCUUCUUACAGGACGCUGUGUAAUCGCCUGGAGCCCAAAAUGAUGGUGACCACGAGUAUGCAGGACGAACUAGCAGAGCUCGGCCUGGGCAUCAUAACAGCUUGUGACAGUCCAGAGGGCAACGUGACGAGUGAUGAACGACUGAUUGGAGUCAUGACCUGAGACACUGUGUUUGCAAGAAACUGCACUGAUGCUUGACUGUUAAAUCAGCCAAAGCCGGGACUCGCAGGAGAUGUGUGUUUACUGGGUUAAGUUAUUUGGGGUUGUUGUCAUUGCAUUUUGAAACCAUUUGCAUAAAUACCACAACAGUCUGGAGAUGAUUCACUAACUAUUAUGUGUUUUUUUUGUUUUAACAAAAAUAAAUAUUUUGGUCUUGCUGCA